rnacentral:rRNA from 1 species
CCUACGGUGGGCAGCAGUGAGGAAUAUUGGUCAAUGGACGAGAGUCUGAACCAGCCAAGUAGCGUGAAGGAUGACUGCCCUACGGGUUGUAAACUUCUUUUAUAUGGGAAUAAAAUGUUCCACGUGUGGGAUUUUGUAUGUACCAUAUGAAUAAGGUUCGGCUAACUCCGUGCCAGCAGCCGCGGUAAUACGGAGGAUCCGAGGGUUAUCCGGAUUUAUUGGGUUUAAAGGGAGCGUAGGUGGAUUGUUAAGUCAGUUGGGAAAGUUUGCGGCGCAACCGUAAAAUUGAAUUUGAAACUGGCAGUCUUGAGUACAGUAGAGGUGGGCGGAAGUCGUGGUGUAGCGGUGAAAUGCUGAGAUAUCACGAAGAACUCCGAGUGCGAAGGCAGCUCACUGGACUGCAACUGACACUGAGGCUCGAAAGUGUGGGUAUCAAACAGGAUUAGAUACCCCUGUAGUC